GGGAAGAAGACCUCAAAGAUAUGCAAUCCCCAAUAGAUUUAUAAGAAACUGCAGGAAAUCCAUUCUUACGAUUUAUUUGCUUAGUUUUGUUCAGAGCAGCAGUAUGUAAAUCUCACAGGGAAUGCCUCUUUUUAAAGUCACUGCUACCAAAAAAUGCAGUUUUCUUUUGGGAGCAGAUUGAUAAAUGAAAAUUGGGUGACCCAGAUCAUGUGAAAUUCAAAUUUAAUGACAAGCGGAUGAUCUUCUGCAAUUAAGAUUUUAAUGCAUCAGGAUUUAACAGAUUCAUGUGUCUGUUUUUUAGCCUAUAUUUUACAAUGAAAUAUUGAGAUUAACAAAUUCAAAGCUAAAUCAUGGAUUUAGGAAAAGAAUUUCAAUAUCUAAGGCAAAUGAAUGGAAAAGAAUAUCAAACCUGAACCUCAUGGAACUCAACAUGUAAGAGAAUGAUUAGAAAAUUAUAUUAGGAUGUCAGCAUGAAGAUUUGAUAUCACUUCAGAGCCUAGCUGUUGGUGUCUGCACAGGUGAAUGGAAGAGUCAGAGACUGGAGCAAAGAUUGUAAAGACAUUCCUCUGGCUUAUGGAAGCAAUCAAGGACACUUCUAUUUCCUUAUGGUAGACGGCAUGGCUUACUGGAUAAAGAGGCCUACAUAUACAUGCUGCCUCUCACACCAAAAAGCACACCUGGCAUGUGACUUGGAACAGAGCAUGCCAAAGAACAAUCCGUUCAAAGGCAAGAGGCAGUCUGGAAAUACCCCUUCCUUGUUUAUGGAUGGUGCCAUGUAGUUUUACUGAUUCAUAAUGGAGCUACAGGCUUUUUAUUCUGACAGCUUAAGCACUGGAAUGAAGGAUAAAACCGCUGGGCAAGGACCGCCCUCAUAAAGUGGCUCGCUUCAGACUUCGGAUGCACAGGUACACAUUAACAACCCUGUGGAAUUGGAGGUCGGGAAUGAUAGAACUCUGUCUUGGCAAAACAAAAGAUAUUUCAAAGAAGAACAAGCAACGGGAAAAGCCUUCUUUUGCCUGGAACUAACACUGGGCUUGACUUUACUGGAAGAAAACUCAAGUUCUGCCUUUAUAAGUAAGCAUUUUAAUAAUAGAAACACUCUAGGGCAGAGCAUACCCAAUUUCCUUAAUCUGCACAUUCCAAAUGAAUAUACAGUCCUAGGUUAUACACAUUAAUUUCCUCACAUAUAUACACACCCACCCACACACUCACAUUCACAAGUACAUGCUCUCAGUGCAAAGCUCCAGUGGGGCAUUGCUCUAACUGUACAUGACAUCAAGAGAGUAUCCAAGAAGUCCCUAAUAGCAUAUAAGCCCAACUACUAGGAAGAGUGAACACACAUUAAUAGCUGUAUCAAAGAGGGGGGGAAUAGCAUUUAGAGAUGCAAAACAUCAUUUUGAGGUUUUCCAGGUACCAUAAUGAUAGUUUUUCUUACCACUGAAUAUUCAUGACACCUCAUAAAACUAAUGAUAAACAUAAAAAUUGAUGUGAACGUUUGACUAAUCUGCUCUUAUUUGUUUGGAAGAGCUGUGGUAAUUGCCUGGUUUGUAAAUUAAACAUCUGCUAUGGGAAUAAACAAAAACAUAACUGAGCA
rnacentral:lncRNA from 1 species